AUCCAUCAGCUUGAAUUUGUUGACCCCAGCAGGUUAUCUGAAUAGAUGAGCUAUGCGCACCGGUUGAAUACUGAAACCUACAAAACAGCAAGUGGGUUAGUAUGACUCACACAUGCAAUGUCUGUCCGUACUAGGAAUAUUCAGUCCUGUUUUUUUUUUUUUUUUUUGGUUUCAUUGAGACAGAUAAAAUUUCAUCAACAAUUCUUUAACAUCC
rnacentral:lncRNA from 1 species